AACAUUUUGAUUUGUCCUAUGGGGGCUGCGCUUCUUUGUCUUGCUUUAGUAACCAGUGUGGCGUUGAUGACAGGGGAAAAAUGGUGGCAGGGCAUGUGUGGUUUCUGGUCCUGGGAUCUGUGCUUAUAUGCAAUCUCGUCAAAACACUCUUACCAGCUAUAUCUUCAUUCCUGUCCAAGGUCUUUCAAAAGGAUGCCGAGCACGAGAUGGAAAUGAGGUUAGAGAUCCAAGGCAUGAAGCAGGAACUUGCCUCCAUAAGUAUGAUGGAUGAGUUUGCCAGGUAUGCACGACUGGAGCGCAGGAUCAACAAGAUGACUGACAAGUUGAAGACCCAUGUGAAGUCCAGAACAGCUCAGCAGGCCAAAAUUAAAUGGGUGGUGAAUAUAGUGUAUUAUGUCCUCCAGGCUGCACUGAUGAUCUCUCUGAUUUGGAAAUAUUAUGCUGACCCAGUGACAGUCCUGCCCAGUAAGUGGAUUGCCCCUCUAGAGCGAUUGGUCGCAUUCCCAUCUGGAGUGGCAGGCAAGUACAGGUAUUGGAACAUGUGACUGGUGGCGGACUGAGGACACCUCCAACUCCUCCCACCUCCUCCUACUCUCAAUCGUCAUCUCUAAGCAAUUAAACUGUAAUGCUUGUGGGAGGGGAGGGGAUGUCAUCAAAAUCACACUUUGAUGACGUCAAUAACGUUAAAUGACAAAGGUGGUGUGGGAAUUACAACCUGGCUUGUGGUUUGCAACAAGGUAGUGGCGAUCAUUCUGCAGGCUGUGGGCUGAAGAAACUGCAUUUUAUCCUUGUCUCAAUAAAACAAAGCCUAGAUGAAUUGGUUUUGUGAAAAUUAAUUCCUGUAUAUGUUUAAUCCCCUUUAUGUAUUGUUGCCAUUCAAUUACUGUUGUUCAGUUUGUCUUUACAGUUUGUAAAAAAAGAAAGAAAUAUUGAUAAUAAUCUCAGCUAUAUUCAUUGGAACAUUGGCAUUGACCAGAAUAUUUCCUUUUAAGUAAACUGCUGAAAUUAGAUUUAAAAAACUCAAAAAAUGGAAGGAGAAAUGAGUUGUUAUAUGUUGGGGGAAGUGAUUUUGGUGUAUUUAUUUUGUAUAAUUCUCCUAAUUUAUUUUGUAUAACCUCUCAAUGAAAAAAGAAUGUACUAUAUACGUAUAUUAGAGAAUCAAGUCAAAAUAUAAGAAUACUUUUGACUGUUCAAAUAAAUUAUCAGAAAUCAGUCAUGUAAGAUAUUAGAAUUUGACAAUGCCUAACUUUACUGCACAAUGUCUUAUGAUUGCUUUGGGAACUUCCACAAAAUAUGUCUUGUGAUCAAUAUAAAUAAACAUGAUUAUUUUCUUCUUGUUAA